GAUGAAGAACGUAGCGAAAUGCGAUACGUAAUGUGAAUUGCAGAAUUCAGUGAAUCAUCGAAUCUUUGAACGCAUAUUGCGCUCUUUGGUAUUCCGAAGAGCAUGCUUGUUUGAGUAUCAGUAAACACCUCAAAGCUUUUGGAUUUUUUAAUCGAAAAGCUUUGGACUUGAGCAAUCCCAACACCAAUCUUUUUGAGAUCGGUGGCGGGUUGCUUGAAAUGCAGGUGCAGCUGGACAUUCUCCUGAGCUAAAAGCAUAUUCAUUUAGUCCCGUCAAACGGAUUAUUACUUUUGCUGCAGCUAACAUAAAGGGAGUUUGACCGUAUUGGCUGACUGAUGCAGGAUUUCACAAGGGUCGGCAACGAUUCUUGUUAAACUCGAUCUCAAAUCAGGUAAGACUACCCGCUGAACUUAAGCAUAUCAAUAAGCGGAGGA
rnacentral:misc_RNA from 1 species